rfam:Schistosoma mansoni strain Puerto Rico chromosome 3, complete genome
AUCCAUCUGACGAGUCCGAAAUAGGACGAAACACACUUUGUCCUGGAU